rnacentral:rRNA from 1 species
CCUACGGGAGGCAGCAGUGAGGAAUAUUGGUCAAUGGCCGAGAGGCUGAACCAGCCAAGUCGCGUGAGGGAAGACGGCCCUACGGGUUGUAAACCUCUUUUGUCGGGGCACAAAGCGAGUCACGUGUGACUCAUUGAGAGUACCCGAAGAAAAAGCAUCGGCUAACUCCGUGCCAGCAGCCGCGGUAAUACGGAGGAUGCGAGCGUUAUCCGGAUUUAUUGGGUUUAAAGGGUGCGCAGGCGGAGGUGCAAGUCAGCGGUCAAAUUGCGGGGCUCAACCCCGUCCUGCCGUUGAAACUGCAGCCCUUGAGUGCGCGAGAAGUAUGCGGAAUGCGUGGUGUAGCGGUGAAAUGCAUAGAUAUCACGCAGAACUCCGAUUGCGAAGGCAGCAUACCGGCGCGCAACUGACGCUCAUGCACGAAAGCGUGGGUAUCGAACAGGAUUAGAGACCCGAGUAGUC